UACGAAGGGGGCUAGCGUUGCUCGGAAUGACUGGGCGUAAAGAGCGUGUAGGCGGCCACACAGGUCUGCUGUGAAAACUCGAGGCUCAACCUCGAGCUGUCGGUGGAAACCGUGUGGCUAGAGUCCGGAAGAGGAGAGUGGAAUUCCCGGUGUAGCGGUGAAAUGCGCAGAUAUCGGGAAGAACACCCGUGGCGAAGGCGGCUACUCUGGGACGGUACUGACGCUGAGACGCGAAAGCGUGGGGAGCGAACAGG
rnacentral:rRNA from 1 species